rnacentral:rRNA from 1 species
UACGGGAGGCAGCAGUGAGGAAUAUUGGUCAAUGGACGCAAGUCUGAACCAGCCAUGCCGCGUGAAGGAUGAAGGCGUUCUGCGUUGUAAACUUCUUUUAUCUGGGAAGAAACCUGAGUUUUCUAAUUCAGCCGACGGUACCAGAGGAAUAAGCACCGGCUAACUCCGUGCCAGCAGCCGCGGUGAUACGGAGGGUGCAAGCGUUAUCCGGAUUUACUGGGUUUAAAGGGUGUGUAGGCGGGUCUAUAAGUCAGUGGUGAAAUCUCCGGGCUCAACCCGGAAACUGCCAUUGAUACUAUAGGUCUUGAAUAUUGUGGAGGUGGGCGGAAUGUGUCAUGUAGCGGUGAAAUGCUUAGAGAUGACACAGAACACCGAUUGCGAAGGCAGCCCACUACGCAACUAUUGACGCUGAGGCACGAAAGCGUGGGGAUCAAACAGGAUUAGAUACCCUGGUAG